rnacentral:rRNA from 1 species
UAAUUUGUAGAGGAUGCUUCGGGUGUGGCCGCCGUCUAAGUUCCUUGGAACAGGACGUCAGAGAGGGUGAGAAUCCCGUCUUGGGCGGCCGGUCCGCGCCCGUGUGAAGCUCCUUCGAAGAGUCGAGUUGUUUGGGAAUGCAGCUCUAAGCGGGUGGUAAAUUUCAUCUAAAGCUAAAUACUGGUCGGAGACCGAUAGCGCACAAGUAGAGUGAUCGAAAGGUUAAAAGCACCUUGAAAAGGGAGUUAAACAGCACGUGAAAUUGUUGAAAGGGAAGCGCUUGCGGCCAGACUCGGGGGCGGGGUUCAGCAGGUGCUCGUCGCCCGUGCACUCCCCGUCUCCCGGGCCAGCAUCAGUUUCGACGGCCGGUCAAAGGCCUCCGGAAUGUGUCGUCUCUCGGGACGUCUUAUAGACCGGGGGUGCAAUGCGGCCCGUCGGGACUGAGGAACGCGCUUCGGCUCGGAUGCUGGCGUAAUGGCCGUAAGCGGCCCGUCUUGAAACACGGACCAAG